GAAGUAUCCCUUGUGGAUAGUUUACUGUAUUGGCAUAUUCCCCAAUACAUGCAUUUUUGCUUCAGCUCGAGUCCUUCAAUUGAUUUAUUUUUACGGAAUCCCUUCGUGUCUCCCAGCAAGUUUCAAGUCGUGACCUGCUCACGCAUUUUUACCCUUAUUUCUCCCCCAGAGUCUCUAUCCCAUUUAUGAGUGAAUUACUCCUAUUGGAUUUUCAGUUUCUCCUAAUUUCU
rnacentral:lncRNA from 1 species